rnacentral:rRNA from 1 species
AACGAACGCUGGCGGCAUGCCUAACACAUGCAAGUCGAACGAGACCUUCGGGUCUAGUGGCGCACGGGUGCGUAACACGUGGGAAUUUGCCUCGGGGUAUGGAAUAACUCAGGGAAACUUGAGCUAAUACCAUAUAAUGUCUUCGGACCAAAGAUUUAUCGCCCUGAGAUAAGCCCGCGUAGGAUUAGCUAGUUGGUGAGGUAAAGGCUCACCAAGGCGACGAUCCUUAGCUGGUCUGAGAGGACGACCAGCCACACUGGGACUGAGACACGGCCCAGACUCCUACGGGAGGCAGCAGUGGGGAAUUUUGGACAAUGGGCGCAAGCCUGAUCCAGCAAUGCCGCGUGAGUGAUGAAGGCCU